rnacentral:lncRNA from 1 species
AGAGGGGCGCAGGCGCGGUAGCGCGGCCUCCCGAGCUGUUGUAAGCACCAGGUUGCGGUGGAACGUGCACCUUCAGUUGGGCUGCACGGAAAAGUGGUCUCCGCAUAAACAGUUGCACUUGCCCCUAGGGAAUGUUGGACCACAGGAGGGGACCUGAAGUACGAUGUACAGGCCCUAAUGGUCCCUCUGUAUGGAAGCGAACACUUGCAGGGGAGGGGCCCAGCGGGAUAGGCCGGGAACAAGGAGGCAGAUCUCAGCCUGCCACACCUGAAGACAAGUACCUUGCAGCUGAGGAAUGGGGCCC